rnacentral:lncRNA from 1 species
ACCAGAUUCUACCAUGACCAUUGACCAUUCUGGGAACCCAACUCAAAACUAUUGUGGUUCCAUUCGAUAAAAAACAAUUUCGACCUUCUUCUUAUUGGCCACGUACAAUUCAUGAACUACAAUACUACGUCUCCCUGUAUUCUUCCUCUUAUUUUUUUUUGGCAUAUAUACCAUGCGUAAGUUUUGUACCACUGCUCAG